UCAUGGCGGCGUGCUUCACAUGCAAGUCGAACGAUGAAGCCCAGCUUGCUGGGUGGAUUAGUGGCGAACGGGUGAGUAACACGUGAGUAACCUGCCCUUAACUCUGGGAUAAGCCUGGGAAACUGGGUCUAAUACCGGAUAGGAGCGUCCACCGCAUGGUGGGUGUUGGAAAGAUUUAUCGGUUUUGGAUGGACUCGCGGCCUAUCAGCUUGUUGGUGAGGUAAUGGCUCACCAAGGCGACGACGGGUAGCCGGCCUGAGAGGGUGACCGGCCACACUGGGACUGAGACACGGCCCAGACUCCUACGGGAGGCAGCAGUGGGGAAUAUUGCACAAUGGGCGCAAGCCUGAUGCAGCGACGCCGCGUGAGGGAUGACGGCCUUCGGGUUGUAAACCUCUUUCAGUAGGGAAGAAGCGAAAGUGACGGUACCUGCAGAAGAAGCACCGGCUAACUACGUGCCAGCAGCCGCGGUAAUACGUAGGGUGCGAGCGUUAUCCGGAAUUAUUGGGCGUAAAGAGCUCGUAGGCGGUUUGUCGCGUCUGUCGUGAAAGUCCGGGGCUUAACCCCGGAUCUGCGGUGGGUACGGGCAGACUAGAGUGCAGUAGGGGAGACUGGAAUUCCUGGUGUAGCGGUGGAAUGCGCAGAUAUCAGGAGGAACACCGAUGGCGAAGGCAGGUCUCUGGGCUGUAACUGACGCUGAGGAGCGAAAGCAUGGGGAGCGAACAGGAUUAGAUACCCUGGUAGUCCAUGCCGUAAACGUUGGGCACUAGGUGUGGGGACCAUUCCACGGUUUCCGCGCCGCAGCUAACGCAUUAAGUGCCCCGCCUGGGGAGUACGGCCGCAAGGCUAAAACUCAAAGGAAUUGACGGGGGCCCGCACAAGCGGCGGAGCAUGCGGAUUAAUUCGAUGCAACGCGAAGAACCUUACCAAGGCUUGACAUGUUCUCGAUCGCCGUAGAGAUACGGUUUCCCCUUUGGGGCGGGUUCACAGGUGGUGCAUGGUUGUCGUCAGCUCGUGUCGUGAGAUGUUGGGUUAAGUCCCGCAACGAGCGCAACCCUCGUUCCAUGUUGCCAGCACGUAAUGGUGGGGACUCAUGGGAGACUGCCGGGGUCAACUCGGAGGAAGGUGAGGACGACGUCAAAUCAUCAUGCCCCUUAUGUCUUGGGCUUCACGCAUGCUACAA
rnacentral:rRNA from 1 species